rnacentral:rRNA from 1 species
GACGAACGCUGGCGGCGUGCUUAACACAUGCAAGUCGAACGGAAAGGCCCUGCUUUUGUGGGGUGCUCGAGUGGCGAACGGGUGAGUAACACGUGAGUAACCUGCCCUUGACUUUGGGAUAACUUCAGGAAACUGGGGCUAAUACCGGAUAGGAGCUCCUGCUGCAUGGUGGGGGUUGGAAAGUUUCGGCGGUUGGGGAUGGACUCGCGGCUUAUCAGCUUGUUGGUGGGGUAGUGGCUUACCAAGGCUUUGACGGGUAGCCGGCCUGAGAGGGUGACCGGCCACAUUGGGACUGAGAUACGGCCCAGACUCCUACGGGAGGCAGCAGUGGGAAAUAUUGCACAAUGGGCGGAAGCCUGAUGCAGCAACGCCGCGUGCGGGAUGACGGCCUUCGGGUUGUAAACCGCUUUCGCCUGUGACGAAGCGUGAGUGACGGUAAUGUGUAAAGAAGCACCGGCUAACUACGUG